rfam:Trichobilharzia regenti genome assembly, scaffold: TRE_scaffold0082391
GCGUCGGUGGUAUAGCGGUUAGGACGCCCGCCUACCAUGCAUAUGGUCCGGGGUUCGAUCCCCGGCCGGCGCA